CUGUUUUAUCUUCUGGUGUGCCCCGUUUAACAUCACAAACAUGCUGGAAAACAGGGAAUAGUAAAAAAGCAACCUUUUACUUUGGUCUGUCUCUAAAACUCAAUGCCAACUGAGCGAUGUGCAAGCACUGCUUAUGGGGAUGGAUAAACAACUAUUUACAUGCCAACGUCUUAAGUUUCAAUAUGUGUCACAGCAUUGUGUAAGCGAAGGGGCAAUUAGCUUGUCACAAACUUAACUUGCGAUCUUCAAACACAUGUCACAACAUCGCUCCUGAAAAAAGGGAGUAUAUUAGUGUGUCUACCUGGGUGUUUUGUUUCCAUCACAGCUGAUCAGAUCUGAAGCUGCUAAAGAUCUACCUACGCACGACUACAGCAGAGUCAUUUAACACAGGAUUGAAUGCAGAUUGUACCCUUUCACACUGAAGACAAAAGCCGGACGUUAGCAGGGCUGCGAACCAGACGCUGGCAAAUACCCACUCUACCCUGCAACAGUGAAAAAACAGAGGAAUACAGUGAAUGAAAGAAGAAGAAAAAAAGCAGAGGGCACAAUGCUUGGCUUUCUUUCCCAACAAGUGGGAUGCCAAAAUAAACAGUCAACCUGACUGUUUGGCUUCAGAGGUAGAAGAAGAAGAAGAAGAACAGCUCAAAAGGAUCUAAGAGAUACAGAAUGACCCGAGAACUGUGAGACUGUUUCUCAGCGUCCCUGCAGACAAACAGUGGGUGUCUCUCUGGGAGUGUUGCCAGUAAAUCGUUAGCAGGACAGAAGAAUGCAGCACAGCUCUGGUGCGCUGGAAAAACCAAAUUUAUUCAUGAAGAACAUGAUAAUCAUACAGUAGAGGAGCAGAGGAGGUGCUGAAAUGGGAACUAUUCCCGA